rnacentral:lncRNA from 1 species
AUGGAGAAAAAAACACAUCCAUCUUGAAAGCACACACAAUAUCUUUCACCAUAAAGGUGGCUUGGCUCGAGUUUGGCAUCAACCCUUGAAGCCUCUCUAUUUUGUUUGUUCUUCAUUUUUCCUCUUGGUAAUUUAAGUAAGAAAUUUCGAGUUUCUUGCUGCAAUUAGAAGAUAUCAUAUUAUUUUAAAAGAGUUUUGAAGAUUACCUAAAAGAUUUCUAAAGAUUUCGAAAUUUGGGGAUUUUUGGGGAAAAAAUGAAAUAGUGUGUUUAUCUUUAAUCUCCUCUUCUUACGUGUUUAAUCUAUAUUUAAAAUCUGUAGGUACUACUAUUUAUUGACUAAAGAUUUGAAGAUUUCGAGAUUUCAAAGAUUUUACAAGAAAAAUAGAGUUUUUCAUUUCUAAUGGCUUGCAUGUACAAAUCUAAAAGGUUUAAGGGCUAAACUGUAAAUUUUUGAAACUUCCAGCUUUUAAUAAGUUUUGAACUUUUAUCUCCAGUAGAUCAAUAGUAAGAAAUGAUUUGAUUGAGGGGUUUUCAACGAUUUAUUGAAUACUUGUAAGAAAAAUCAAUUUUUGGGUAAAGAAAUGACUUUUCUAGCUAUUUUUAUUUGAAAAUUUAUAAAUUUGUAAAAUAGUUUCAGAGUCUCGAAAUUUACAUAAUUCGAAGUCUCAGGAUUAAAUUUGAGAAUUUUUAAAGAUCAUUUACUAUUAUUUCGAAUUUUAAGGGUUUAUGUGCUAAUUAUGAAGUUCUUGUGUUUUAAUUUCUAUGUCUUGGAAUUGUGUAAUUUAAAUUAUAAGACAUGAGAUUAUGAACAUGGAUUUACAGCGGAGACAUGUUUAUGAGGCUGCUGGAAUUUAUUAAGUGAAAUCAAUGAGAGGAAAUGGUAAGAAAUUCAUUAAAUGAUGGAAUAAAAGUCUAUUUACUUUAAAAUCAUGAUUCUGCUAUUUAUUAUGCAUGUUUAUGAUGAUGGUUGCAUGGAAUAAAUAUACAUAUGUGUGAUGUGUGUAUGUGCGUAUGUGAGCGGUGUGUGUAUGGGGAUGAUAUAUGUGUUGGUUUAAUUGUGUAAUUAAGUAGUUGAUAAUUUUUAUGUGAUUGGGUUGAUGCUCACUUGAUUGAUAUUUGUGAUGUUUAAAUGAUUUUUAAAAAAAUUGAUGUCAUUCCAUGACAUGCAUUGUUUUGACAAAAUUGAAAUAUUAAUGGAAUGUUUCGGUAAUAAACAAAUCGGAUACGGUGGGCCGGUAUCCAACUAGGGCUGAGAGGAGUGAUACGAGUGAUAUGAGUAAUAUUGGAUCCAUAGACGGGCUCGAAACGGUUUAUUAUCCAAAUAUAUAAAUUAUUCUUUCACAUAUCCGAUAAAGGAAAAAAUGGACUUUUACACGGAUUGCAUUCAUGAGCAUUUUUAUGACUUGUAUGUUUUAUUUGGUUUUUGUGUGAUGUUUGUAUGACUCGAUGAAGGUGAUUGAAAUAUUAUAUAUAUGUAUAACCUAUUUUCAACCCUCGGUAUUCUUACUGAGCUUAUUAGCUCAUAUAAAUAUUUCUAAUUGCAGGUAGUGCUUGUGGUAACCCUCCCCCGGAAUGGACCGAAUAGUGGAUCGAUGUCUUGCCCGGAAUUUUUGGAAGUUUGAACGAGGGUUCUAUAAAUGUGGCUAAAUACUGUUACGUGAUGUAAUCUAAGAUAAUUUUCGUUUUCAUUUAUACUAUCUUACUCGUGUUUAAAGGAUGGGACUUUAAUCGGUAAUGGAUCCUAUUUUGAACUUAAUAAUAUAUUGAUCCGCU